rnacentral:rRNA from 1 species
CGCGUAGGCGGAGAGACAAGUCAGAUGUGAAAUCUAUGGGCUUAACCCAUAAACUGCAUUUGAAACUAUCUCCCUUGAGUGAUGGAGAGGCAAGCGGAAUUCCUAGUGUAGCGGUGAAAUGCGUAGAUAUUAGGAGGAACACCAGUGGCGAAGGCGGCUUGCUGGACAUUAACUGACGCUGAGGCGCGAAGCGUGGGAGCAAACA